UCUAUGACAAAAACCCUGAUAUUGAUUGAAGAAGAUUACAUAUCAACAAAUCAGCCAUCUUUAAUAAUGACGUCAUCCAAUAUACUUUCUGUCUCUUCUCCGGCACAUAACGCAUCCAGUGUAUUGAAUAAAGUAACAAUAGAUGUGUUUGAUGGGAACAAAGAAGCACACCCCUCUCAAAGCACUAAUUACAAAUCGCAACAUCUUACUGCGACAAAUACAAUACAUACACAACAAUCUUCCGCGUACAAUGUUUUCAUAACGAUCGCUCCUGGUAUAGAAAUAAAAGCGAGUGAUAGAGAAAUAUCUUUCGUCUCAUCGAUAAACAAAAAUGAAAUCCUCUUUCACAGUUCCAAUGCAUCCGAAAUUUCCAGUCAAAAUGACUCCGUGUCAAAAAAUCAGGAAAUAGUAAACACUACAUCAAAUGCUACGUCUCCUAUGUAUAUGGACUUAAUAUUUGAUGACGUGUAUAACGAAAACUAUAAUGAUUCUAAACUUGAAAUGGAAGAAGGUAUGAAUAAGACACAAAAUAAAGUAGAAGACUUAAAGGCGAAUAAUAUUACUCAAGAAAUACUGGAUGAUUUACUACAGAAAAGCAGCGACAUUGUGCCAGCUGACGCCAACGUCACGAGUAAUUUCAUAGACACAGGUGUUAACAAAACGCUUAUGGAUGAACUGGUCGAAACUUUUAAUAAUCACUUUGAAGGAGUUACACCUACGUUGCUGUCACCAGCUUCCAUUACUCAAACAGAAGUUUUCAGUACAACACAACCUACCACUAGAGCUCAGCCAAUUUUUCGAGGUCUGAAACCAUAUCUUAUAGUUGGAAACGUAAUGGGAGCAUAAUAGAAUAACGAAUAAGUUUUUUUGCAAGUUACAAAUUAAAAAUUGAAGUGUACAAAUGUGAAGUGUAUAAGGGUGAGGGGGAAGAGGGGACAUACAAAUAUUAAAUAAGCAGAGAGAGGGUGUUGACUGUAAUAAUCGGAGAAGGAGGAGGCAUUAUAGUAUAAGCUGUCCUUCUAUUGAUGACUGUAACCAUGGAGGCUGUUACAUUAAAAAAUAAGGCCAUGAAAAUCCUAGGCAAGAUAUGAAGGAUAUUUUAGGUCAGAAAUGUUAUAAUCCAUUCCUACAUUCUUUAAUUAUUCUUUAAAAUUAUUAUUUAGAAUAAUUUGGAUAGAAUUUUCUAUAAUUUUAAAAGAAUAAUUUCUCCAUAGAUUUUUCUUAAACCUCUCACCAAUUAAUUUCUUUGUUUUUAGGGAAGAAUUUUUUGGUCUCGAUUAGGCUAUUAAACUAUACAACUGGAUCCAGCUUAAAAAAUUGGACAACAAAAAAUCAGAUUGAGCAUGCGCUCGCUGAUGUGUAUAAAAAAGAUAAAUCUUUUAUAUCUUCAAAAGUAGUUUCGUUAAGACUUGCAAAGGGGUAAGUGGUCUGUGUUUUAUACUAUUUAUACUAUUCAGUUCACCUCGUUAGACAUUUGUUGGUUUUAUUUAUAGUCAAAAUGCUACAGUUGUCGAUGUCGAGCUUUAUUUUACCGAACGCUCUAAAAGUCAUUUACAAAGUUUGCAAGACCAACUUGGUAAAGGGUUUAUUGAUGCGUUUCCAGUGACGAAGCAUCUUAUUGAUAUAUGUAAGGAAAAAAAUCUUUUUCUUUUUUUAUCAUUGUCAUUAGAAAAAUAAUUUUUUUUUGUUAUGAAUUUAAUUUUACGCCCUGUUGAUCCACUUUACGCCCUGCGUAUCCACUUUGCCGCUCUGAAUUUUUAAAUGCUUGACUGACCAGCUAUUAAUUUUCUUUUACAAAAAUCAUCUCUAGCGAAGUUACAAUUGCUACGUUUAUUUAAAAAAACUACGUUUGUUUAAAAAAAAAUUUUAUCACUAACAUAGCUUUUGCUUAAUACUAUGUCUGCAAACUUCGUCUCCAGGGCUUUUUUCUAAGAUUGUAAGAAAGAGAAAAAAAUGCCUUGGCGAUGAAAUUAGUGUUUUGCAGGUUCUGCAAAAUACACUGUGGUGUAAUGACGAAACAAUUUAUCUUUGACAGCUAAAUCGACACAGCUGUAAAGUACUAUGUUCUUGCCAAAUUGUUUGCCCUCAUGAAGAAAUUCUGAAAAGGCUGUGACGAAAAAGAAUUUUGAGAUCUCUCGUACGCGCACUUAAGCACGCCCUCUUUAAAUGACAAACUUGCUAUUAAUUUUAAGUGGGAUCAUUGAGACACCAGGUUUUCCCAUAGCCACAGUAAAUAACUUUCUCACUAUCUCUAAUAAAGCACAUAUUUUUUUAUUUCUCUUAACCCUUCCCGGCAUUUCGGGUAUUAUCGUCACUUACACAUCACGGAAACCGGAAAAAAGAUUGUUAUCUCCCUUAGAAUCCCCACCGUUGGGAAUGAGAUUGUAUGUUAUGUACCAUCGAGAUACACUUUAGACAUAAUAAACAGACCAAGUAACCUUCAACUAUUUUCCUAUAUUUUAGCUCUCCUGAACGAUCAUAUAACCGAUAUUACUUGGUGUUUGCCACCAUGUUUCAAACCGUACCAAUGCUUUCCCAACUGCGACGAAGCCUGUUGUAAAUCACCACCGAUUUCUAAACCAGCUAACACCGAAUAUUUUAAAGGAAGUACAGUACUGGACAAUGUUAAUCAACCAUACAGAGUAAAUCCCUUUUAUACAGUUUAUAAUUAUAUCUUUACCCCAAAUGAUGCAUUAAAAACGGGACAAGUACCAAUGAACAAUCAAUAUGACGUCAGUAAAAUGACUUCGCAUAUGGACCCGGAAACUGGCGUUGUAACAUGUAGUCAGUAUUGUCGGUAUCUUUGUCUACCAUUUUGUUUAACUCAAUGUUGUGUAAAAGUCUCAUAAAACUAUAAAUGUAUAUUUUUGUAUAUAUGCGGUUAUUGAUUAUUAGAUGUU